rnacentral:rRNA from 1 species
ACGGAGGGGGCUAGCGUUGUUCGGAAUUACUGGGCGUAAAGCGCACGUAGGCGGACCAGCAAGUUAGGGGUGAAAUCCCGGGGCUCAACCCCGGAACUGCCCUUAAAACUGCCGGUCUGGAGUUCGAGAGAGGUGAGUGGAAUUCCGAGUGUAGAGGUGAAAUUCGUAGAUAUUCGGAGGAACACCAGUGGCGAAGGCGGCUCACUGGCUCGAUACUGACGCUGAGGUGCGAAAGCGUGGGGAGCAAACAGG